rnacentral:rRNA from 1 species
UAAUACGGAGGGUGCAAGCGUUAAUCGGAAUUACUGGGCGUAAAGCGCACGCAGGCGGUUUGUUAAGUCAGAUGUGAAAUCCCCGGGCUCAACCUGGGAAUUGCAUUUGAAACUGGCAAGCUAGAGUCUCGUAGAGGGGGGUAGAAUUCCAGGUGUAGCGGUGAAAUGCGUAGAGAUCUGGAGGAAUACCGGUGGCGAAGGCGGCCCCCUGGACGAAGACUGACGCUCAGGUGCGAAAGCGUGGGGAGCAAACAGGAUUAGAUACCCUGGUAGUCCACGCUGUAAACGAUGUCGAUUUGGAGGUUGUGCCCUUGAGGCGUGGCUUCCGGAGCUAACGCGUUAAAUCGACCGCCUGGGGAGUACGGCCGCAAGAUUA